rnacentral:misc_RNA from 1 species
CUGGGAUUGAAAUUUGAUGUGAAGUGUGUGUUGGGAAGGAUAGGUAAGCUACCCUAGAGGCUUAUGAAUUAAAGUGUGAUGCCCAAUAAAAGAUGACUGAGAUGGCUAGAAGACUGCAAUUGAAUUGGAUUCUUAGCUCAUCGUUAUUGCUUUUGAAACCCUAGAUAAGAAGUAGAAAGGAAGUGGCGCUGGAGAAUGGUGGAGGAG